rnacentral:misc_RNA from 1 species
AACGCACAUUGCGCCCUUUGGUAUUCCGAAGGGCAUGCCUGUUCGAGCGUCAUUAUCAACCCUCAAGCCCGGCUUGUUAUUGGGUCCUUAUCGUUAAAGAUAGGCCCGAAAGAUAAUGGCGGCGUCACAAAUGACCCCAGAUGCAGCGAGCUUAUAGCAUACAUUGAAAGGUUUUUGUGGCCCGGCCUUAACGAGAAGCAAUUCUCAAUUUUUCAAAGGUUGACCUCGGAUCAGGUAGGAAUACCCGCUGAACUUAA